rnacentral:rRNA from 1 species
CGGCGGACGGGUGAGUAACACGUGGAUAACCUACCUAUAAGACUGGGAUAACUUCGGGAAACCGGAGCUAAUACCGGAUAAUAUAUUGAACCGCAUGGUUCAAUAGUGAAAGGCGGUUUUGCUGUCACUUAUAGAUGGAUCCGCGCCGCAUUAGCUAGUUGGUAAGGUAACGGCUUACCAAGGCAACGAUGCGUAGCCGACCUGAGAGGGUGAUCGGCCGCACUGGAACUGAGACACGGUCCAG